rnacentral:lncRNA from 1 species
GACUGCUUUAAAUACCUAGUAAAUUUUUAAAUUGUAAAUUAACGUAUGUCAAUAACAGUUCAGUGGUUUUUUUCAUUAAGCUAGAUAUUACUAUUUAGUAUUGCAAAAGUUUCUGAUUUGUUAUGCUUUAAGCCACUAAUGAGAAUAUAGUUUUCCUGACAUUGUUAUGCAAAGUUUAAGAAUUGUUUAAUAUACAGAAUCUGUUCUUACAAAACCAAAAAACGCCUUACUUUAUUGCUAAAAUAUCUAUAAAAAAAGAAAAAAUUAUCGCUAUAGACACAUCCGGGAUGGGAGAAGAGAAGGAAAAGAAAUAGAUUGCUGACAGUUGCUUUUGACAUCUUUGAAUUUCGUUGUUAGAUCUUUCACUGAAGGUAAGUACAGAAUUGUUCGGCUAGGUAACAGAUUGAUAGGAUGUGAAUUGAGAUACUAUGCUAAUCUUUAAUUUGGAUGAAUUUUUUAAUAUAUAGUAUUUUAAAGAAAUAGAAUUGAUUUAAGAACUGUUAUACUGUCUACAACAGGAAUUUUUGCUUUCUCGUUCUAGGAAAAUAGUUCUUUUUUUUUUAAGUUUAAAGCAUUCCAGUUCUAGUUUUAUCUAUUAGCAUCUGUGAUGGAUACUAGAGUAUAUUAAACACUUUUCUGAAUGAUGAGAGCUAACUGCCAUGUAAUUCCGAUGUAUGAAAAUAUAACGGAAGUAACGGCCAGAUCAUUGACCUCGGGAAAUGUAAAUCCAAAACUUUUAAUUAAAAAUUUAAAAUUGAAAUUUGAAGUAAGUUCAGCCCCAUAUUCGAAUAAAUACUUGCUUUUAUUAAAUCCUGGGAUCAAAUUGCUUUGGGGCAAAAUUUAUUACUAGAACCAAUAUGUUAUUGUAUUUGAAAUUAUAAAAUGGCUGAAAUAUUUAUACGAAAAUUAGAUUGGGUGGAUCUACUCUCAACAUUAUUACGUAUUUCAGAAGGGACUAUUGCAGAUUUGAUCAAUUCUAUUAAGCUGGAUCGAUCACUUAUAGCAUUUCCUCAUUUUUCUGUACAUUGUUAGAUUACCUAUUCGCAUAUUUUUAAUUAAAUUUGUUUAAUGUUCAAUAUUGAGGACUUCACAUUAAUUAUCGCUGUUUUGAAAUUCGUGAAUGCGUCUGAACAAGCUCAUUGAUGACAUUCUAAAGUCGCGAUCUCUACUGUUGCGUAUUUAAUUUGAUAUUUGGAAUGGUAAAUUUUGAGGCUUAGUAACUGAUUAAUAUACAGUUCUUAGAAAUCUAUUGAUAUCUUAAACCGUUUGUUCACAUUUACACAAAACACAAACAAACACAAGGCACGAAUGUUUGUGAUAGAAAUGCCAACGGAAGAGAUUCAAAGUCUUUGGACAUCGCAGUAAUGUUUCAUUUUUAGCUAAAAACCGUAUUUCAAAAAUCCAUAAUUUAAAUGGUAAUCGCAAAAUAAAUAAUUUGGAUAUACAGCAUUUAAAUUGAUAUAAUGUGUAAAAAAAAGUUUAAAGCUUGCUUUCGGAUGAGAGAAUUAAUGUUGGGUGUAGAGAAUAAGUACUCUCUCUAUUAACCAAGAUAAUCGGGAAGUUCCGAACAAAUUACGGACAGAAAUAAUAUUUAAAUAAAUUUCACAUUUAUAUUAUUGAAAAAGGGGAAAAGAUUAUGUGCAGCAAGAAAUUAUUGCAAUAUUUGUAUUUUUGAUCGCCAAUUAUCUAUAUGUUGAUACAUCUGUGGAUGAUAUAAACGAAUCUCGUAGCGUUUAAAAAUUUGAUACCUCAUCAAUAACUGACACUUCCGGAAUUGACCGGGUUUAAUCCGACACUCUGAUAAGUGUAGUUUACUGUGUUUCCAUGUAUUGUUCAGACUGAAUGAUAAGGUAGAUCAUCAUCUCCGUUUGUGCCGAUGAAUAUGAAAUUGGGCCAAAAUUUUUCAUUUUAUUAUUAUAUUGAAAUAUAUAUGUAAUAUUUUUAUUAUUUGAAAAAGUUCUCUCCUAUGUUAACCCUUUUUUUGGGUCGGCCGGAUUGGCCGCGUGGAAACGCUUCGGCUUUCCACUCUGG